AACGAACGCUGGCGGCGCGCCUAAUACAUGCAAGUCGAGCGAGAAGACGUAGCAAUACGUUUGUAAAGCGGCGAACGGGUGAGGAAUACAUGGGUAACCUACCCUCGAGUGGGGAAUAACCAGCCGAAAGGUUAGCUAAUACCGCGUACGCUCCUUGGACUUCGGUUCAGGGAGGAAAGCGAUACCGUGGGUAUCGCGCUCUUGGAUGGGCUCAUGUCCUAUCAGCUUGUUGGUGAGGUAACGGCUCACCAAGGCUUCGACGGGUAGCUGGUCUGAGAGGACGAUCAGCCACACUGGCACUGCGACACGGGCCAGACUCCUACGGGAGGCAGCAGUAAGGAAUAUUGCGCAAUGGGCGAAAGCCUGACGCAGCGACGCCGCGUGGGGGAUGAAGGUCUUCGGAUUGUAAACCCCUUUCGGGAGGGAAGAUGGAACGAGCAAUCGUUCGGACGGUACC
rnacentral:rRNA from 1 species